AGAGUUUGAUCCUGGCUCAGGAUGAACGCUAGCGGCAGGCCUAACACAUGCAAGUCGAACGGUAAGGACCACUUCGGUGGUUACACGAGUGGCGCACGGGUGAGUAACGCGUAUGCAACCUACCCUUAACAGGGGGAUAGCCCGAAGAAAUUCGGAUUAAUACCCCAUAAUACUAUAAAUAAGCAUUUAUUAAUAGUAAAAACUCCGGUGGUUAAGGAUGGGCAUGCGUACCAUUAGAUAGUUGGUAAGGUAACGGCUUACCAAGUCUACGAUGGUUAGGGGGCCUGAGAGGGUGGUCCCCCACACUGGUACUGAGACACGGACCAGACUCCUACGGGAGGCAGCAGUGAGGGAUAUUGCGCAAUGGACGAAAGUCUGACGCAGCCAUGCCGCGUGCAGGAUGACGGCCCUACGGGUUGUAAACUGCUUUUAUACAGGAAGAAAACUUUCAACGUGUUGAGAGUUGACGGUACUGUAAGAAUAAGCAUCGGCUAACUCCGUGCCAGCAGCCGCGGUAAUACGGAGGAUGCAAGCGUUAUCCGGAUUUAUUGGGUUUAAAGGGUGCGUAGGCGGAAUAAUAAGUCAGUGGUGAAAUCCUGCAGCUUAACUGUAGAACUGCCAUUGAUACUGUUAUUCUUGAAUAUAGUUGAGGUAGGCGGAAUGUGUAAUGUAGCGGUGAAAUGCAUAGAUAUUACACAGAACACCGAUUGCGUAGGCAGCUUACUAAGCUAUUAUUGACGCUGAGGCACGAAAGCGUGGGGAUCGAACAGGAUUAGAUACCCUGGUAGUCCACGCUGUAAACGAUGAUCACUAGCUGUUGGCGAUACACCGAUCAGCGGCAAAGCGAAAGCAUUAAGUGAUCCACCUGGGGAGUACGGUCGCAAGAUUGAAACUCAAAGGAAUUGACGGGGGCCCGCACAAGCGGAGGAACAUGUGGUUUAAUUCGAUGAUACGCGAGGAACCUUACCUGGGCUUAAAUGCAGGACGACGAACUGGGAAACCAGUUUUCUCUUCGGAGCGGACUGCAAGGUGCUGCAUGGUUGUCGUCAGCUCGUGCCGUGAGGUGUCGGGUUAAGUCCCAUAACGAGCGCAACCCCUAUCGUUAGUUGCCAGCGGAUCAUGCCGGGGACUCUAACGAAACUGCCGGUGUAAACCGAGAGGAAGGUGGGGAUGACGUCAAAUCAGCACGGCCCUUAUGUCCAGGGCUACACACGUGUUACAAUGGUCGGUACAGAGGGUAGCUACUAUGUAAAUAGAUGCCAAUCUCGAAAACCGGUCUUAGUUCGGAUCGAAGUCUGCAACUCGACUUCGUGAAGCUGGAUUCGCUAGUAAUCGCGCAUCAGCCACGGCGCGGUGAAUAC
rnacentral:rRNA from 1 species